AUUGAACGCUGGCGGCAGGCCUAACACAUGCAAGUCGGACGGUAGCACAGAGGAGCUUGCUCCCCGGGUGACGAGUGGCGGACGGGUGAGUAAUGUCUGGGAAACUGCCUGAUGGAGGGGGAUAACUACUGGAAACGGUAGCUAAUACCGCAUAACGUCGCAAGACCAAAGAGGGGGACCUUCGGGCCUCUUGCCAUCAGAUGUGCCCAGAUGGGAUUAGCUAGUAGGUGGGGUAACGGCUCACCUAGGCGACGAUCCCUAGCUGGUCUGAGAGGAUGACCAGCCAACCUGGAACUGAGACACGGUCCAGACUCCUACGGGAGGCAGAAGUGGGGAAUAUUGCACAAUGGGCGCAAGCCUGAUGCAGCCAUGCCGCGUGUAUGAAGAAGGCCUUCGGGUUGUAAAGUACUUUCAGCGGGGAGGAAGGUGUUGUGGUUAAUAACCGCAGCAAUUGACGUUACCCGCAGAAGAAGCACCGGCUAACUCCGUGCCAGCCGCCGCCGUAA
rnacentral:rRNA from 1 species